rnacentral:rRNA from 1 species
UACGAAGGGGGCUAGCGUUGUUCGGAUUUACUGGGCGUAAAGCGCACGUAGGCGGGUCGUUAAGUCAGGGGUGGAAUCCCGGAGCUCAACUCCGGAACUGCCUUUGAUACUGGCGACCUUGAGGCUGGAAGAGGUUAGUGGAAUUCCCAGUGUAGAGGUGAAAUUCGUAGAUAUUGGGAAGAACACCAGUGGCGAAGGCGGCUAACUGGUCCAGAUCUGACGCUGAGGUGCGAAAGCGUGGGGAGCAAACAGG